ensembl:lncRNA
AGCCUGAGCUGGAUACCUGGCUGACAAGUACCACCUUUUUCCUACACAGAUGACAACCCAGCCCAUAAGCACCAGGCCCAGGAAACUACCAUUCUACUCUCUGCUUCUAUGAGUUUGACUAUUUUAGAUUUCUCAUGAACUUCCAUACCAUUUCUGUAGUGAUCACACCAACUGAUAUUCCCACCAACAAUGCACAGGGGUUCUGAUUUCCCUACAUUUUUGGCAACACAAGCUAUCACUGUCUUCUUGAUAAUAACCAUUCUAACAGUUUUGCAGCCACAUCAGUUUUUGAUUAGACUUACAAUUAAAGUGGGGAAGUGACUUUGGAAGAGACAUGCAUGCUGUCAGCAGAUGGGAGAGGGGAUCGAGAAAGAUGGAGGGAGGCUGCUGUAACACCUGUUCUGGUUGGGAUUCUGAAUAAAUAUGAAAGUGGCUCUCCCUGUGAGAGGAGUAUGCUUCUUGAUCACUGAAGGCUGACUAGGCGAUGCAGAAGGUGUUGAUUUCCAAGAAAGAUCUUGUUCUUCAAACUCUGUUACAGCAUCUUCUCUGGAGAAGUCAACAGUGAGAUGGGCUAAAUGAAGGAGGAGCAGCUUAUUGUCUCCGUUGGUUUUCUUUAUCUUCCUUCGAAGCAUCUGGGGGAAGAGGAAGACAAUGGAUGAGACGGCAUAUGUUCUUUCCACCCUGUGAAGGAAUCAGAUUUGAACUCCUAAGCAAAACAGAAAAUGUGGAAAUGGUGCUCAGGCAAAACCUGAGAGACACCAGGCUCAAGAGACUCUGCUCUGAAGUCCAUCUGAUACAGUCUGAAUUGUAGACAAGUUCUUUCCCCUCAGUAGUCUACUGCUUACUAAAGUGUAGCUCACUGGCUCUGUGGGCUUGGGUAAUCAGCAGGUAAGGGUGACUAUGCCCAGUGAAGCAGGGGCAGUGGGAAGAAGCCUUGAAGAAUACCAACAAUAGAAAAUAAGUGAACUUUCUCCUAAACCCAUAAGAAACAUCACUAUCCUGCUAAAAGCAGGGCUGAGGGAACACAGUAGAGUAGGCUCAGAAUGACUGGGAUUUGGGCAUUGAUAUUAAUGUCACCGUAUCUACACUUAUUGAUUGUUGAAAUUAUACAUUUGGCUUGAAACCACAGGAACUAAUAUACUCUAAAUAUAAGCUGAGAAAAAUUAAAAAUAACCACAACUACUACAGUAGAAAGAGAAAAUGUAUGAAUGCCAAGAAUCUAUUGUGUAAAUUAACUACAAGGGUUUAGAAGUUUUGGGCAUCUCCCUGGGGAUUGGCUGUGCUCAGUCUCCCUUCCAGGAAAUCAUUUACAACCCUAUGUCUGUUACCCCAAAAUGACUUAAAUGAAGUUCAGGAUAAGACAGAGACAAGUUCAGAACAAGACAUUGAUGAGGUUAAGAAGAAUGAAAUUGAAAUUAUAUAAAUUUCCAGUUGUUAGAGAUGCCUGAGUGUGACACAAGUUUUCAAGUGUUGUGAUGUCAUACCAUGAAAUGAUUACAAACGUUUAGGAAACAAUCUCUCCUGUGGAAUCAGGAAUCAUUACUAAAUAUCACAAUUAUAGCAGAGAUACUGAAGAAUGCAGUAUAUAUGUUCUGAGAAACCCGAUGAAAUAAACUUCAAGGACACAGAGAAAGGCACUGUGAUCUGUUCUCUGCAAAGGGCCUGAUAUAUUUAGAUUUUCAUUAAGAUGGGCUGAAAUACAAAAUGUCUUCAGUUAUCCAGGAAAUGUAAUUAACCACUUUUUAAGAUUUCUACUUAAUCAAUGCUAUUUUCCCCCAUAUUUGGUUAAUUGAACUGUCUGCCUCCAAUGUAGUCUGAGGUAUGUGGCUAAUUUUGGCCAGCAAUAUCAAGGACAUGAAACUCAAGCUAAUUUUUUUCCCUCCAAAAUAGCCUCUAUAUUUUGACUGUAAAUCCUUAUACUAUUCUCUGUGAAAUAAGCCUUUAAUUAAUAGCCACACGUAAUAAUCUAUUUAAAAUUAAGAUAAAAUAUGUUGAUGUUUCGAGAAUUACUUAGAAACAGUAUGAAAAUAAUUUGGAGUCAGAACAAACUAAAUUUGAAUUCUUGCUCUUUCAAGUUACAGCUAAUCUUGGGCAAGCUAUUUCUCAGUUUCUUCCUCUGUCAAAUGGAGCUAAUAUUAAUUUCUGCUUAAUAGUGUUCUUGUGAGACUACAGGUAAUGUUUGGAUAGCAUCAGAUAUAGAGUAGACAUGUAAUAAAGUGUUACUAUUUUUAUUA